rnacentral:rRNA from 1 species
UACGAAGGGGACUAGCGUUGUUCGGAAUUACUGGGCGUAAAGCGUGCGCAGGCGGUUGUGCAAGACAGGUGUGAAAUCCCCGGGCUUAACCUGGGAACUGCACUUGUGACUGCACAGCUGGAGUACGGCAGAGGGGGAUGGAAUUCCGCGUGUAGCAGUGAAAUGCGUAGAUAUGCGGAGGAACACCGAUGGCGAAGGCAGUCCCCUGGGCCCGUACUGACGCUCAUGCACGAAAGCGUGGGGAGCAAACAGG